rnacentral:rRNA from 1 species
UGGGGAAUUUUGGACAAUGGGGGCAACCCUGAUCCAGCAAUGCCGCGUGUGUGAAGAAGGCCUUAGGGUUGUAAAGCACUUUUGUCCGGGAAGAAAUCGCACCUGAUAAUACCGGGUGUGGAUGACGGUACCGGAAGAAUAAGGACCGGCUAACUACGUGCCAGCAGCCGCGGUAAUACGUAGGGUCCAAGCGUUAAUCGGAAUUACUGGGCGUAAAGCGUGCGCAGGCGGUUGUGCAAGACCGAUGUGAAAUCCCCGGGCUUAACCUGGGAAUUGCAUUGGUGAAUGCACGGCUGGAGUGUGUCAGAGGUGGGUAGAAUUCCACGUGUAGCAGUGAAAUGCGUAGAGAUGUGGAGGAAUACCGAUGGCGAAGGCAGCCCCCUGGGAUAACACUGACGCUCAUGCACGAAAGCGUGGGGAGCAAACAGG